CCACGCCAACAGUCCAGCCACUCCAAGGUCAUCGAUGACCCAGGGCCUCUCUCUCUUCCGGCCGUGCCAUCAUAAAAGGCACUUCCACGGUCUCUUCACCGACGUCGAUGGCUUCUGGAACAUUUGCCCCCCCAUUGCAUUUCAGAGAAUAAGAGAGACAGAAGAGGAACUUGCCCUUCCAAAGAGCUCCCUGGAAGCCCCACCCGCAGGCUUUCUUAUUGGAACUCCUGUCAUAAUGGACAGAAUGCUGUAUGGCUAUUGCAAGCUGUAGAAAAGACUAGAACCCUAUAGCCUCUUCACCAGGCACAGUACGGCCCGAGUAAGGUUUGCAGAGCAUGGCAACUAGGUAACGGCCUACAAAUCAAGAUGCAGGACACUUGGCUCCCUCUCCAGCUCCACAUCUGCCUGCACGCUGCCAUGCUCCCCGCCAUGAUGAUAACGGACUAAAUCUCUGAAACUAUAAAGAAACUG